AACUCUUGCUUAAAACAAUGUAAUUUACACGGCCAUUUGGAAGCAGGUGCAAGCUGGAUUUGAUUGCGUUACAAGCCCAGAGGUGCUUUUCUACAGGCUGUGCAUCCCAGACCUUUGUGUCUUUUGUUUGGGAGAGGAAAAGGACCUGUCCAGGACCUUUAAGCUAUUCUGUUGCCAGCUGCUUUUCUGUUUUUGCAAAACUUCGAUCCUGAAGUUAGCUAUAAAGCUGGUGUGACCCUAAGCCAUCCUCGGGGGAAAGGAGAUGACGAAGAGAGAAGUUGCUCUCGCUGAUCUCAAAGGCCAGUACGACUUAGAACCAUUGCAGGUCCUCAUCCAGCCUUGGAAAUGAAAACCUCGUGAUAAGCACUGUGUCUAAGCCCUAGGGCAAGCAAGCAAGUUGCAGAGAUUUUGAUGUACAUAGGAUCCCCAAACCAGGACUUGUUUUUCUCCUUCAUGAGCACACUUCUCAUAGCCCUGCAUUGGAGUCCAUCAGAG